ensembl:lncRNA
UGUGAAGAAUGAAAUAGUGAGUGGCAAAGUGCUUUGGGAGCUGCGAAGAGUGGUGUCAACAUGAGGACAAGGACAGUCAUGGUGGUUCCACUUUACCCCCUUAGAGCUCAGCCUCCUCUGACAAGACAGAUGUGUUGGGUGCCUGAGUGUCCCCUGCCAUUCCAACUUUUGCUGGAUGAGGAGGUCUCUGCGGGCCCACUUAAAAACUUCUGAAGUGGUGUUGAUUUGGACGUACGGCUAGGGACAGAACUGAGAAAUGCCUGGACUUGGAGGUGAAGAGAGAUGAGGGGACGGGUAACUGCUACUUGAUGACAGCCUCGGCACCCCUGAAGGAAGGCCCUUUGCUGUGAACUCUCCAGUCUCUCCUCCUCAACUGACAGCACAAAAACUGUCCACAAGGAGUGACUGCUAAAUGCACAGGUAUAGGACGGAAGUAUCUAUUUUAGGGGACUUAUCUUUGUAGUGGCUUUGUUGUAACUCCGAGAUGGUGGAAUUAGCUCAAAUAAAGGAUGCAGAAAGCCUGAGCUCCGGCCA